rnacentral:rRNA from 1 species
GCGGCAGGCCUAACACAUGCAAGUCGAGCGCGCCUUCGGGUGAGCGGCGGACGGGUUAGUAACGCGUGGGAACGUACCCUUCUCUACGGAAUAGCCUUUGGAAACGAAGAGUAAUACCGUAUACGCCCUUUGGGGGAAAGAUUUAUCGGAGAAGGAUCGGCCCGCGUUAGAUUAGAUAGUUGGUGGGGUAACGGCCUACCAAGUCUACGAUCUAUAGCUGGUUUUAGAGGAUGAUCAGCAACACUGGGACUGAGACACGGCCCAGACUCCUACGGGAGGCAGCAGUGGGGAAUCUUAGACAAUGGGGGCAACCCUGAUCUAGCCAUGCCGCGUGAGUGAUGAAGGCCUUAGGGUCGUAAAGCUCUUUCGCCUGUGAUGAUAAUGACAGUAGCAGGUAAAGAAACCCCGGCUAACUCCGUGCCAGCAGCCGCGGUAAUACGGAGGGGGUUAGCGUUGUUCGGAAUUACUGGGCGUAAAGCGCGCGUAGGCGGAUUAGAAAGUUGGGGGUGAAAUCCCGGGGCUCAACCUCGGAACUGCCUCCAAAACUGCUAGUCUAGAGUUCGAGAGAGGUGAGUGGAAUUCCGAGUGUAGAGGUGAAAUUCGUAGAUAUUCGGAGGAACACCAGUGGCGAAGGCGGCUCACUGGCUCGAUACUGACGCUGAGGUGCGAAAGUGUGGGGAGCAAACAGGAUUAGAUACCCUGGCAGUCCACACCGUAAACGAUGAAUGCCAGUCGUCGGGUAGUAUACUAUUCGGUGACACACCUAACGG